CAGCGCCACGAGUGGGGGUCACGAUUAUUGGGCCUAAAGCGUCCGUAGCCGGUUCAGCAAAUCCUUUGUGAAAUCGUUGGGCUCAACCCAACGGCGUGCAGGGGACACUACUGAACUAGGGACCGGGAGGGGUUGGAGGUAUUUCUGAGGGAGCGGUAAAAUGCUAUAAUCUCAGGAGGACCACCUGUGGCGAAGGCGUCCAACCAGAACGGAUCCGACGGUGAGGGACGAAGGCUAGGGGAGCGAUCCGGAUUAGAUACCCGAGUAGUCC
rnacentral:rRNA from 1 species